AAGCGGGAAUAGCUCAAAUUUGAAAGCUGGCAGCAAUGUCCGCGUUGUAAUCUCGAGAAGUGUUUUCCGUGCUGGACCAUAGAUAUGUUCCUUGGAAUAGGAUGUCAAAGAGGGUGAGAAUCCCGUACAUGCUAUGGACGCCCAGUGCUUUGUGAUACACUUUCGAAGAGUCGAGUUGUUUGGGAAUGCAGCUCAAAAUGGGUGGUAAAUUCCAUCUAAAGCUAAAUAUUGGGGAGAGACCGAUAGCAAACAAGUACCGUGAGGGAAAGAUGAAAAGCACUUUGGAAAGAGAGUUAAACAGUACGUGAAAUUGUCAAAAGGGAAGCGCUUCAAGUCAGAUAUGGCUUUGAAUGUUCAGCCUUUAGGUGUAUUCAUUUUUUGUCAGGCCAGCAUCGAUUUUGAACGUCGGAUAAGGGUAGAAGGAAUGUAGCAUACUUUCGGGUAUGUGUUAUAGCCUUUUACUGGAUACGACGAUCGGGAUCGAGGUUCGCAGCACACCCUUUUUUGGGCAGGUCUUCGGACACUUUUGUGCUUAGGAUGCUGGCGUAAUGGCUUGAAGCGACCCGUC
rnacentral:rRNA from 1 species